rnacentral:rRNA from 1 species
AUUGAACGCUGGCGGCAUGCCUUACACAUGCAAGUCGAACGGCAGCACGGGAUCAAUCCUGGUGGCGAGUGGCGAACGGGUGAGUAAAGUAUCGGAACGUGCCCAGUCGUGGGGGAUAACGUAGCGAAAGUUACGCUAAUACCGCAUACGAUCUAUGGAUGAAAGCGGGGGAUCGCAAGACCUCGCGCGAUUGGAGCGGCCGAUAUCAGAUUAGGUAGUUGGUGGGGUAAAGGCUCACCAAGCCGACGAUCUGUAGCUGGUCUGAGAGGACGACCAGCCACACUGGGACUGAGACACGGCCCAGACUCCUACGGGAGGCAGCAGUGGGGAAUUUUGGACAAUGGGCGAAAGCCUGAUCCAGCCAUGCCGCGUGCAGGAUGAAGGCCUUCGGGUUGUAAACUGCUUUUGUACGGAACGAAAAGGUUUGGGCUAAUAAGCUGAGCUCAUGACGGUACCGUAAGAAUAAGCACCGGCUAACUACGUGCCAGCAGCCGCCGCAG